GAUGAACGCUGGCGGCGUGCCUAAUACAUGCCAGUCGAGCGAACGGACGAGAAGCUUGCUUCUCUGAUGUUAGCGGCGGACGGGUGAGUAACACGUGGAUAACCUACCUAUAAGACUGGGAUAACUUCGGGAAACCGGAGCUAAUACCGGAUGAUAUUUUGAACCGCAUGGUUCAAAAGUGAAAGAAGGUCUUGCUGUCACUUAUAGAUGGAUCCGCGCUGCAUUAGCUAGUUGGUAAGGUAACGGCUUACCAAGGCAACGAUGCAUAGCCGACCUGAGAGGGUGAUCGGCCACACUGGAACUGAGACACGGUCCAGACUCCUACGGGAGGCAGCAGUAGGGAAUCUUCCGCAAUGGGCGAAAGCCUGACGGAGCAACGCCGCGUGAGUGAUGAAGGUCUUCGGAUCGUAAAACUCUGUUAUUAGGGAAGAACAUAUGUGUAAGUAACUGUGCACAUCUUGACGGUACCUAAUCAGAAAGCCACGGCUAACUACGUG
rnacentral:rRNA from 1 species